UGGACACAUUGCUAGCGACGGACGGGUGCGUAACACGUGGGUAACCGGCCCCUAUCACUGGGAUAACACACUGAAAAGUGUGCUAAUACCAGAUAACAUAAGCUUUUGGCAUCAUUAGCGUAGCAAACAAUUUCGGAUAGGGAUGGGCCCCCCUCUGAUUAGCUUGUUGGUGAGGUAACCGCUCACCAACGCAACGAUCAGUAGGAGACGUGAGAGGGUGAUCGGCCACACUGGAACUGAGACACGGUCCACACUCCUACGGGAGGCAGCAGUGGGCAAUAUUGCACAAUGGGCGAAAGCCUGAUGCAGCAACGCCGCGAGAGCGAUGAAAGCCUUCGGGUCAUAAAGCUCUGUCCUAUGGGAAGAUAAUGUCGGUACCAUAGGAGGAAGCCCCGGCUAACUACCGUGCCAGCAGCCGCGGUAAUACGUAGGGGGCAAGUGUUAUCCGGAAUUAGUGGGCGUAAAGGGUGUGUUGGCGGUUUAUCAAGUCAGGGGUGAAAGGUUACGCCUCAACCGUAGUGAGCAUCUGAAACUGGUGAACUUGAGUGUAGGGGAGGAAAGUGGAAUUCCCAGUGUAGCGGUGAAAUGCGUAGAUAUUGGGAGGAACACCAGUGGAGAAGGCCACUUUUGUGGACUUCAAUUGACGUUGAGGCACGAAAGCGUGGGGAGCAAACAGGAUUAGAUACCUUGGUACUCCACGCUGUAAACGAUGAAUACUAGGUGUCGGCUGUGAGAGAGUCGGUUCUGGCGUUAACACAUUAACUCAUCCGCAUGCGGAGUACGCUGGCAAGAGUGAAAGUUAAAGGAAUUGACGGGGACCCGCACAAGUAGCGGAGCAUGUGGUCUAAUUAGAAGCAACGCGAAGAACAUUACGUAGGCUCGACAUCCCUAAGCAAAGCCAAAAACCGGAGAUCGUGUGGGUGGCAAGACAAAGGUGACAGGUGGUGCAUGGUUGUGGUCAGCUCGUAUCCUCAGAUGUUGGGUUAAGUCCCGCAAAGAGCGCGACCCCUCUUUUUAGUUGCCAUCAGUUCGACUGGGCAGUCUAGAAAGACUGCUGAUGACUACUCGGAGGAAGGUGGGGAUGAGGUCAAAUCAUCAUGCCCCUUAUGCUUAGGGCUACACACGUGUUCCAAUGGCUGUGACAAAGGGCUGCGAUACCGCGAGGUGGAUCCAAUGCCAUAAAAACAGUGGAAGUUCGGAUGGUAGGUUGAAACUCGCGUACACGAAGCCGGAGUUAUUAGUAAUCGCAGAUCUGAAUACUGCGGGGAAUGGGUUC
rnacentral:rRNA from 1 species